GAAUCUUCCGCAAUGGACGCAAGUCUGACGGAGCAACGCCGCGUGUACGACGAAGGCCUUCGGGUUGUAAAGUACUGUCUUAAGGGACGAAGUGUAGUGGUGUGAAUAAUGCCAUUACGUUACGUUACCUUAUGAGGAAGCCCCGGCUAACUACGUGACGGCAGCCGCGGUAAUACGUAGGGGGCAAGCGUUGUCCGGAAUCAUUGGGCGUAAAGGGCGCGUAGGCGGAUAUUUAAGUCUGAUGUGAAAACCUAGGGCUCAACCCUGGGACUGCAUCGGAAACUGGAUAUCUUGAGGACAGGAGAGGAAAGUGGAAUUCCACGUGUAGCGGUGAAAUGCGUAGAUAUGUGGAGGAACACCAGUGGCGAAGGCGACUUUCUGGACUGUAACUGACGCUGAGGCGCGAAAGCGUGGGGAGCAAAC
rnacentral:rRNA from 1 species